rnacentral:lncRNA from 1 species
CUGCAUCCUUCCAAACAGAGAAAUAGGAUGAGAAUCAGUAUGUCUGAACUAUAGGCUAAAGCGGCAUGAGGUUCAGGUGCAUCAACAUGAUUCAGUUUCCAUGACCAGAUUGCUCAUUACAAAAAUCAAAGCAGAAAUAUAUUCCCUACACUAAAACAGAGUAAAGAGUUAGAAAUAUCAUGGUCUCCAAGGCCACAAUCCAGUUAUGCACUCAAAAAGUCCAAUAACGUCCAGGCUAGCAAUUAAACAUGCUAGCUUUCAAGUUCAACGAUUCAAAGUUUAUUGAUUUAUAACGAAUCUUGAGAAGUUCCAAAGGAAGCAUGCAGUGCAUCAUCCUAAUCAUUAAUAUCCUAAAAUAAGGCUUAAAUCAACAACAGCUCCAAGUAUGCAGGUAUCAAGAAUCACCUUUGACAGCUAAAUACAAGACAUUUCAUCUCUAAUUGGCAGGUAUGCUGGUAAGCUAUUACAGAAUAACCGAUGAACAGGGUAACUAUUAUUUUGCUUCUUAACUGCCAGGGGGAACCAACUGAAGCAUGGCAUCUACAUAAUGUCAUGUCUUGUGCCUGCUUCAGUUGCGGAUCACUGAAGUAAAAAUUCUUUAACCUAAAUUAAUAAAUAUACUACCAGAAGCAAGAGAGUCAAAAAUGAAAUGGAUUACUAAGUAUUACCAAUCACAUACAUUUCCAACAGUCAUAUCAGAAGCUUCAAAUUAACUAAUAGAUUUAAGAUUUCGAAUAUCUCCCUCAUUCCUUUAUAAUAUUUUGUAGGUCACUUGGAAAGAAACGAAUAGGAGGGUUUUGAUGGGCUUUAUUUGGCCUUUUGUAGAUAUGGAUCAUUGGCUCCAAAAUUCUCUGUUUUUUUUGCUUAAAGAUCAUCCUCUCUCCCCUAAGUAGGAUCGUGAAGAGCUUGAUAUUUUGACCAGCUUGCAACCUAUGGUUUCGUAUAUGAAUGCCACUUCCUUGCUGUCUUGUUAAUAUACUUAAAAAAAUAAUAAUAAAUUUUUAACCUGCCUUGAGCAGGCUUAAAUUUAAGGAUUAUAACAGCAAGAACUUAUUUAUUAUUUUUAAAUAUUGAUAUUAACAAUGGUACCAAUGGGGCACCACCCAUAUAUAAUAUAUUUACAUGUCAAUUAAAACUUCAAUGACAUUUCCAAAAUUUUCCGGCCUAUUAAUGUCAUGACCCAAAACCAAGAAACCAAAAAUAUGAAUUCAUCUAUCUCUAAUAUUAACAAACUCCCUUUUUAUUUCUUCAAAUGCUCUAACAUUCCUUUCUUUCCACACGACCCAAAAAAUAGAUAAAGGAAUCAGAAGAAGAUAAGUUUUCUUUGUACAUAAGCCCGCCCAAGCCCACAACUCAUCUCUCGCCAACCCUGCAAUCACCCAAUUGAUCCCUAGGAGACCGUACACCAUAGACCAAAUACCAUACACCAUUGGGCACCAUAGCAAAAUAUGGUUACAUGAUUCUGCAUCCAUCUUAAAUAAAAGCAGUGAUUAACUAGAAUUUUGCCCCUCCACCUCAGCCUAUCAAUAGUUAGGAUGCAUUCUCUACUCAUUUCACAAGCAACCAAAAAACAAUUGUUGGUGGUGCCUUCGUCUUCCAUAUCUAUUUAACUGGAUAAUGGACAGUUUCACUCCUUUUUCCCCUAGUCAAAUGCUUGUAGAAGGUCUUUACAGAGUAAUCUUCUUGUUUCCUCAAUUUCCACAUCAACUGGUCCCUUCGAUCAUCUAAUUGAAUUUGAGAUAACAGGAGUAAUAAGGCUUCAUACUCUUCGAUAAUUAUUGAGAUUUCUUGUGACGUUCAUAUUCCACCCCCUACUCCCGCUCGCUGUCAAGUGAGCCUCCUCCGCCACCAUGUUCUUUGAUGACACAAUGGCGAAGAUCGCUGGAAACUGAUCUUUCAGCCUAUCCUCACCAACCCAUUCAUUCUUUCAAAAAUGAAUUCUAUCGCCCUUAUCCACCUUCCUCUUUGUGCAUUCAAGAAAUUUGUGUUUCUCCACACUAAUUUUCUUCUAUUCACAUCCCUGACGUCCUCACCCACUUCCCUCACACCCCACAGAGCCUCCACAACAAGAACUUAUUUAUAAGUUGCGAGUGAAAUAUCAACACCACCUUCCAUACACUAAAUUAUUAUUAUUGGACAUUUGCACAAAGAAGUACUCAAAUUAAUUUACCAUGAAAAGGAAAUAAUGCUCAUACAGUAUAAUGGCCAUUAAUAAAUGCUAUUUUAGAACUCAUAAAAGCCACUUAGUGUCUAAAAAUUGAACAAAUUCAGCUUUCAGAUAUAAAAGAAUUAGAUAUCCCAGCAAAAAGAGAGAAUUUCAUGUCAUAUUAUUGUUAGAAACUUGGGACUUCUUGCAAGCAUUUUAGCAAAUAUGAAAAAAAUCACAAAAGAACUUUGCCUACUACCAUCCUCAGUCUCAUCAAACUCCAUCCUAAUGCGAUAUACAUGACUAUGUUGCUUCGGUUUGACCUUGUGCAAAGCCCUAGGCUCUCUAUGGUUUUUGCUAAAAAAAUGUGACCUGUAAUUCUGUGUACAAUCAUCAAACAAUAACUGCACUAAAUAUCAUGCAAAUACAAAAAGUUGUUUCCUAUCAAGUAUUUCACAGUUUCUCUCUCAAAAAGUUUUCCAUAGUUUUUUAUCUCAUGUCAUAUCUCAUUUGUGUAGCAUGCAUACAUACAUAAUAGUCAUAACUGCAUGUAAAGAAUUGACAUGCUAGAUACAUGACUGAAAUAACUUACUGAGAAAGCCAACAUGAGAGAAAAACUAAGAUGAAGCAAAGCAAAAUAUCCAGUAAAUUUUACUACAUCCCAUACCUUAUACUGGUCAUGCUAUUAAUAUGUAGGCAAGUAAAACGACAAGACCUAAGCAUGCUUCUUAAAACCAGCUGAGAAAAAUUAGACAAAAUCUAGCAGAAAUUAUAAUAGAUCUAUCUCCAAAUUGUAGUUUCCUGUUUAUGGAUGCGAAUCAAGAAAAAUAAAUGCCCAAACUAUCAUAAUGACAAGCAAAUGCAAGAAAACAAGUUCACAAUACAAAAUACAGAAGUACAGAUCUAUGAUAUUUCUUUUAAAGAUAGGGAGGAAGAAAAUAUCACAAACAAUGUAGAAG